UAAGUCUCCAUUCCAAUAUCGAAAGCUAAGUCCCCAGGAGAAUGAUUCCCGAUAACAUUGUAUACUGAUCAUUCCAGAGAACUUUACCAACAAAAUCAUGGGAAAUCAUAUGGAUUUCCACAUCAUACCGUGGAAGAUCAAGCCAAAAGCUAAGAACUGAAUCCCAAAAAGAAGACUGGAAGUUUGCCAUUAUUCGAGAAGUUGAUCUUCAGAUGUCUCUGAAAUCAUUCACCUUCUAUAUUGACUGUGCAGGUUAUCUUGCAUUCAAGAACAAGCUAAAACAUAAAAUCCUCAGGGGACGUCCAAAUUUGAUGUUCUUUCCAUUCAACAAAUCACUCCAACAGGCUCCAUGUAAACUGAACUUCUCAUAACUCAUCCCACGUACAGCAAAUUCUCAACUACCAUUCUCUUUUUAACUGCUGAUUCACAAU